rnacentral:lncRNA from 1 species
ACAACAGGUUGAUUAAAAAUAAAAAAUUAAUCCGCAUCCGCAUUCAUAUUUUGGUUUUACAAUAAUUGGUUGUGUGACUUAGCAUCUUCUACAAUUUUUUUUGCUUAUGGUUACCCAUUCUCUGACUCCCAUCUUCUUAAGGUCGUCUACUAUCUGCUUCUCCCAUUUAGUUUUUGGUCUUCCUCGUGGUCUGCCUGAUACAGGUCUCCAUUUGGAAAUUUUCUUGAUAAUGGUUUCUGGAUUUCUCCUUUCUAUAUGUCCGAUUUUUAGAUAUAUAAAUGUAAAAUGAUAUCGGCAUGGCUCGCAGUAAAAUAGAUGUACAUAAGAAUGAAAAGGCACCGAUUUCUGACUAUUGAUCUGAAUCAAUACUGUCCCAGGCAACCAAGUGACGUCAAUAACGUCGAGGAAACGUCAGUGUUUGGUUGAAUAUAUACACGUGUUUGAACAUUACGUCGUGAAAACAUCUUUUGUAGGUGAUUUUAAAUACGUAAGAUUGAUGACGUUAAAAUACCUUUAAAAACACGUUUUCAUUUCAGACAGCCUAAGUCUGACGUCACGAAAUUGGGAGGAGCUUACUUGUCAAAAGUUACAAAACAAAGGUUAUGUUUGAGUUUGUAUUUGUAUCAUCGUUUCAUUUCAUUGUCGUCGUAUUUUGCGUAUUUUGGAUUCAUUUGGAUUUUGUUUGCUGUUUUUUUGUCUAUUUUUUAAAUCUUUUGUUUGUCAUUUGUGAACUUUAUAAACUUACCACAAUGCAAAGUGAUUAUUUAAUGAAAUUAUUAUUGGAACCUCCAGAUCUUGGAGAAAGGUACGCGAAACAAUUUUUAUUUACUGUUCAUUUUUCCCUGAUAUUUAUCAAUAAUGAUGAAUUUUGCAAGCAAUAACAUUAUUUCUUUUAUUGUUUUAGAUAUUCAUUGAAGCUGAAAAUAAUUGGACAUUUAGAUAUUCCACCAAUUACUAUUAUAAUGCUAUUAUAGAUAUUUAUACAUAUCUGGUGGAGUCUCACAGUUACUACUUUAGACAGCAGAUGAAAGCAUACAAAAGCCUUCAGGCACAUAAGAGCCUUUACAACUGCAUUCGUUUUGAAAGUUGGAGUAAAAAUUGUUAAUGAUUUCUAUAUUAUUGUUGGAAAGGUGAAGCAUUCUCAAAAAGCUAACGCUAAACCACUAGAUGCUUGGGUGAUAGCCAGUUCCAAUGGCAUAGCAAAUGCACAUUGUAUGUGUAUGGCCGGUAAUAGUGAAGUUUGCAGCCAUAUUGCAGCAAUCUUAUUUGCAGCUGAGUAUGCCCACAGCAAGACAGAAGAAGAAGAACCCAAAGUACAGAUGUACAGAUGUUACAGCUAUGUACAUGGUUUGGAGAUAGCAACAUAUGCAUUCUCUGAUGAAAAACUAAUAAAUUUUGAAACUGUUGGGUCAGAGUGCUUGUUGCACUCUCUAAACGAACUGAAAUAUAAGACGGCUUUGGCUUCAUGUUGCAGCGAUAUGAAAAUGGUUAUUCAUUCCUAACUAUAAUGUACUUCAUCAUGAGUAUCUAUGUAUUAGUCUUUUAAGUGUGUAUUAUCAGAUAUCACAUGUAAAUUGUUUUAUCAUUUUAAUUUGGUCAUUGCAGUUCCUUAAUCAAAAAAUAUAUUUUUCAGGUGUCUGUAGAUCUUUUUGUAUGCAAAAAUAUGUAAUAAUUAUUUGGAAUCAAAUUGAGGAUUAUAAGAGUAUGGAAAUAUAUGUGAGAACACAGA